rnacentral:rRNA from 1 species
AUUAAACGCUGGCGGCAUGCCUUACACAUGCAAGUCGAACGGCAGCACGGGGGCAACCCUGGUGGCGAGUGGCGGACGGGUGAGUAAUACAUCGGAACGUGCCCUGGAGUGGGGGGAUAACGCAGCGAAAGCUACGCUAAUACCGCAUAUUCUGUGAGCAGGAAAGCAGGGGAUCGCAAGACCUUGCGCUUUGGGAGCGGCCGAUGUCGGAUUAGCUAGUUGGUGGGGUAAAGGCCUACCAAGGCGACGAUCCGUAGCGGGUCUGAGAGGAUGAUCCGCCACACUGGGACUGAGACACGGCCCAGACUCCUACGGGAGGCAGCAGUGGGGAAUUUUGGACAAUGGCGGAAGCCUGAUCCAGCCAUGCCGCGUGAGUGAAGAAGGCCUC